GCAGGGGUCGCAUAGCCUGGCAAUUGCGGAGGACUUAAGAUCCUCUGGGUUAGUCCCUUCGUGGGUUCGAAUCCCACCCCCUGCA
rnacentral:tRNA from 1 species